AUAUACUAGCAUUCAACUGACUGCACUCUUACUUCAAGCGAAACAACCUUUCCGAUCAAAUAUCCAAAUAGAAGUGCAGCUCGUCAAGCAUCAUCUGUACUUUGUAUGAAGAAUAUAUUUCCUUAAGUUUACAACUACAGAGGGCCAAGAAAUCUGGCCGCCUCCUGCUGGCUUAAUCAUGCUCCAGUAGUAGUGUUCGUCCUGGAUCAACCUGAAGUUCAGUUUCUCGAACACACGACAGGCAGCACUGUUAUUCAUAUUGACCAAGGCCGUAAUAUCCUGCUGAAGAUCGGUUGCGAUUGCUUUGGAGAUGGCGGCGGCGACUACUAGGCCCAAACCACGACGUUGGUGGGUUGGGAGCACUUCCAAAGCUCCGAGGAAACCACUUUGCAGUCUCACCAAGCACAUAAUGAACCGGACUCCUUCUCAUACAAUCCCACAUUGGUAUUGUAUGUUAUAAGCAUCUGGAUGAGCUUCAGCGAGCCAGGAUGACGAGCUGACCAAAGAUUGUUUAUAAGGUCUGCAUGUUCAAGCCGCACUUUGUCCAGGUAAUAACCAUCCGGGCACUGGAUCUGCAGUCUCUCUGCCUCCUCACGGUUCAGGAUGUACAUAAUGGUGUUCAUUUCUCGAUCCAUGUGGAGCCCGAGGUCCAGAGCCACCUGCUUGUAGAUCUUGUGAUGGAUCUCAUGGAUAGCACUGACUUUGAAGCCUCCCGACCAAUCCAAUUGUUUCAGCGCAACUUCCAAGUCCGUUUUUUGCUUGCUCAAGUUACUGAAGAAUAGUUGGUACCGAUGCUGAAACGAGAAGUUAUCAAUGAUGAUACUCAAGAGUUCCUGAGACCGAUUCCACAGACCACCAGUAUAAACAAUCCAUCGCUCCUCCAAUCAUUAUCCAAGGUAUAGAAGUUAAGGUGCUUCAACGUCGGGUUUUGGUGCAGCCAUCGCAAGUAGUUGUCCAGCCAGAAGUAGCCGACACAGUUGCUGGGCCAAUCCUUCAGAUACAGUAUCUGUAGAUCCUUGAGAUCGGCCACAGCCGUGAUUCUCGUCAGCUGUCCCACAGUUGCCAUGCCGAAGAGAACUUCUUGACUGUUUAUUGCCACCGGUUUACUUGUUUUUAUUUGCUUGUUGAUAAGCUCGGAGAGAAUUGUUAUACCCUUGUAAAGGUAUCACGAUUUUAUGCCACCAUUUCAAAGCUAAUAAAUAUGAAAGUAAUCGUAGCUAUGAGCUCAUAAUUCCUGUGCCAUGUAAAUAUUUUGCUAAGAAUUAUAAUUUUCCAUAAUGAAUUUCACA